rnacentral:rRNA from 1 species
UACAGAGGUCUCAAGCGUUGUUCGGAUUCAUUGGGCGUAAAGGGUGCGUAGGCGGCGCGGUAAGUCGGGUGUGAAACCCUGAGGCUCAACCUCAGGCCUGCAUUCGAUACGGGCAGACUAGAAUUCGGCAGGGGAGACUGGAAUUCCUGGUGUAGCGGUGAAAUGCGCAGAUAUCAGGAGGAACACCGGUGGCGAAGGCGGGUCUCUGGGCCACUACUGACGCUGAGAAGCGAAAGCAUGGGGAGCGAACAGG